rnacentral:rRNA from 1 species
CCUACGGGAGACAGCAGUGAGGAAUAUUGGUCAAUGGGCGGGAGCCUGAACCAGCCAAGCCGCGUGAGGGAAGAAGGUACAGCGUAUCGUAAACCUCUUUUGUCAGGGAACAAAGGCGGGGACUAGUCCCCGGAUGAGGGUACCUGAAGAAAAAGCAUCGGCUAACUCCGUGCCAGCAGCCGCGGUAAUACGGAGGAUGCGAGGGUUAUCCGGUUUUAUUGGGUUUAAGGGGGGCGCGGUCGGCCUGUUAAUUCAGCGGUAAAAGCCCGGGGCUAAACCCCGGCGAGCCGUUGAAACUGGCGGGCUGGAGUGGGAGAGAGGUACGCGGAAUGCGCGGUGUAGCGGUGAAAGGCUUAGAUAUCGGGCAGAACCCCGAUGGCGAAGGCAGCGUACCGGCUCCACACUGACGCUGAGGCACGAAAGCGUGGGUAUCGAACAGGAUUAGAUACCCUUGUAGUC